CUUUGUCUUACUUGGUAGGAAGCAGCCUUUUAUAAUUUCACUUUCCUGACUUCAUCCAGGAUUUACUGAACAAGAACUGCUGGAAGGGAAUCUGAAAAUCAGAUCUUCCUUGUACUUCAGCUUUGCUUCCGCUCUAGGCCCCAAGAUGCCAACACAAACAAGGAGGCCACCCUCAGGUUGCCAGGACAACAGGACAGAGGAAAUGGCAAAGACUCAGCUUUCCCAAAGGCGUAGCAGGCUAUGCUGACUUGCUUUCUCCUGAGGAACUCAAACCGUCCUUUCUAAAUGCCCACCCCCAAACUGUGCAGACUAGCAGAGACCCAGGCCCAAGCCACAUGCCGUGGUUUUACAGACUUGGGAGGAUAUGGAAUGGGUAGGAUGAGGAAUGGCCAAUAAAACUUUUCAUUCUGA